rnacentral:rRNA from 1 species
AUUGAACGCUGGCGGAAUGCUUUACACAUGCAAGUCGAGCGGCAGCACGGGGGCAACCCUGGUGGCGAGCGGCGAACGGGUGAGUAAUACAUCGGAACAUGCCCAGUCGUGGGGGAUAACACUUCGAAAGAAGUGCUAAUACCGCAUACGUCCUGAGGGGGAAAGCGGGGGAUCGCAAGACCUCGCGCGAUUGGAGUGGCCGAUGUCAGAUUAGCUAGUUGGUGGGGUAAAGGCCUACCAAGGCAACGAUCUGUAGCUGGUCUGAGAGGAUGAUCAGCCACACUGGGACUGAGACACGGCCCAGACUCCUACGGGAGGCAGCAGUGGGGAAUUUUGGAAAAUGGGGGCAACCCUGAUCCAGCCAUUCCGGGUGAGUGAAGAAGGCCUUCGGGUUGUAAAGCUCUUUCGGCAGGAACGAAACGGUGAGCUCUAACAUAGCUUGCUAAUGACGGUACCGGAAGAAGAAGCACCGGCUAACUACGU